GAUAUUGCGCAAUGGGGGAAACCCUGACGCAGCAACGCCGCGUGAAGGAAGAAGGUCUUCGGAUUGUAAACUUUUGUCUUUGGGGAAGAAAAAAAUGACGGUACCCAAGGAGGAAGCCACGGCUAACUACGUGCCCGCAGCCGCGGUAAUACGUAGGUGGCAAGCGUUGUCCGGAUUUACUGGGUGUAAGGGGAGUGUAGACGGGACUUAAAGUCAGAUGUGAAAUACCGCGGCUCAACCGCGGGGCUGCAUUUGAAACUUAAGUUCUUGAGUGCAGGAGAGGAAAGCGAAAUUCCUAGUGUAGCGGUGAAAUGCGUAGAUAUUAGGAGGAACACCAGUGGCGAAGGCGACUUUCUGGACUGUAACUGACGCUGAGGUACGAAAGCGUGGGUAGCGAAC
rnacentral:rRNA from 1 species